GCGCUAGUAGCUCAGCUGGAUAGAGUACUUGGCUACGAACCAGGCGGUCGGAGGUUCGAAUCCUUCCUGGCGCA
rnacentral:tRNA from 2 species